AUUGAACGCUGGCGGCAGGCCUAACACAUGCAAGUCGAGCGAGUGGCGGACGGGUGAGUAAUGUAUGGGGAACUGCCCGAUAGAGGGGGAUAACUACUGGAAACGGUGGCUAAUACCGCAUACUAUCGGAUGUACCCAGAUGGGAUUAGCUAGUAGGUGGGGUAAAGGCUCACCUAGGCGACGAUCCCUAGCUGGUCUGAGAGGAUGAACAGCCACACUGGAACUGAGACACGGCCCAGACUCCUACGGGAGGCAGCAGUGGGGAAUAUUGCACAAUGGGCGCAAGCCUGAUGCAGCCAGGCCGCGUGUAUGAAGAAGGCCUUCGGGUUGUAAAGUACUUUCAGCGGGGAGGCGUUACCCGCAGAAGAAGCACCGGCUAACUCCGUGCCAGCAGCCGCGGUAAUUC
rnacentral:rRNA from 1 species